ensembl:lncRNA
CGAAAAAGGAUCCAGUCUGUUCUGCUUCAGUGGGAUCUGAGGGUUGAAAGCAUCCCUCUAAAACCUGUGGAUGGCUCAGCUUUGGUGCACGAACACAUCCUAAAAAAUACCAAGUCUGCAGAAGUCCUGCUGAGGACAACAGCCUGGUUUCCUUCUGCCAUGCAAUUACAUACCUACUCCUGCUGGCAUCCUGCAAGACCAAAACCUAUCCCAAACCCGAGCACAAACCAUGAAGAGUGGGGCCGCAUGCAAUGGCUGGCUGAGGUGCAGAAGGGCUUUCUCAGGAAAGGUCGGGACUACUCAGGUGGGAUGGGCCCAGCACCUUGGUGAGCAGGUGCUGCCCGCUCCUCCCCAUCAGCAGAGCCAUCAGGCUGGGUGAGAUGCUCAGCGCUGCUCUGCCAGGUGCUGCGGCACCCCAAGGACCAUGAUGGUAUGGCAAGGAAUGGGGCACGGCUGGCAGAGCGAAAGCUGUCCCUUGCCAAAGGAAUGCUGCAAGCUCAAUCUCCGCAGAUUCAAAGGGAAAUGAAGAGCCCCCUCAUCCUCCGGCCUGUUUGUCCCUGUAAUCUCAACAAAAUAUCACACUUACUUGCAAUAAUAAAGCAUAAAAGGGAUGCUCAGCCUUGCUGUAUUUAUCACAGCAAGGUUAAAAUUACUCCUCCCUUUACUAGUGUUUUACAUAAAUAGUCUUGUGGUCAUGCCUUCUACCUUACUCAGAAAUCUCUCUCUGUUCUUUAUGUGUCUGUUGAUAGUAACCAAAGUUACCUAUGAAAAAGGUACUGUAUGUCUCAUUUUGGAGAAAACACUGUAUUUAUAACUUAUUUUUAUGCUAAAUUUGUUAUGAGGAAUGCUAGUCUGAGUUACAUGUGAACGAAGUGCAAUAUCUAUAUAGAUAAGUAAUUCAUUUUUGAGAAUGUAUCUAUUGAAAAAAUAUUUAUACGAGAUAUUCACUAUUCUGCUUAGUAUAACAGUAACCUUACAGAAAACAGUGAAUGUUUAGGGCUUUUAUUUAUUAAAAAAACUCAAUUAGGUGCAUGGCAUAUGCUGCCAUACACAUGGUGUCAUUUACCAGUUUUUGUAACAUAAUGGUUUUCCUGCAAACUGGCAAUGUCAUUGACAGGGACUUUUUCCUGUCCUAAUGAAGUAUUUUUGUAAGUUGCCAUAUUUAAAAAUAAUUUUUUUUAUUUUUAUUUUUUGCAUUGAUAUUUAUUUCCAACUAAAAACAACUCAUUAAAUGGUUGUAAGUUCAUUUCAAAAACAACUCCUAACCUGUUCCCGUAUUCCCUGUUCACUUUAGAAAUGACAUGGUGCAAUUUUCACGUACAGUGGUCGUUUCAUUUCUGAUAAUUUAGGGCUCUAAGAGCUUACUUCCAAAGCCCCUUGAAGUCAAAGCGAAGAUUGUAUGUGGCUUUUGUGGUUGGUUUCUCCAAUCCCCAUCAAUUUAGGAGGGCUUUGGAUCAAGCUGUAUGUUGUUAACAGAUGUCUGAAGCCUUGUUAGAGUCCGGUUUGGAUAAUAAAGCCUUGACUUUUUUUGGUCUGCAUAUGAGAGCUGCUAAUAAUGUUGAUAAUACUUGCCUUAUUUUUUGGUUUUGUGGAGCAUCUUGCAAUGACUGUUGCUAACUAGCCAAUGUCUUGCUGUGUUAUUCAUACCUCUUAAUUUCACAAUAAUUAAAAACUUAACUGAGCACAUAAAGUUUCAUUAUUUAGGGAAAAAGCAUCCUGGAGACAAAAUCAUCUUUGUUCUGGAGGUGGUCCUUUGUACUCAGUUUAUAUUUCAAGUAUCAACAUCUAUAAAAAAUAAACUGUGAAUGGACAGUUUUACAAUUACAUGUAGGUAUAUUUCCUUCAAGACCACAGCUAGGAACAAAAUACUUUUUAGAUGAGUUACUGAUAUAUAAAAUUAUGAGACUUAUCACCUAUUUAAAUUGUGAAUAUUGAUAUUUUCAUAAGUAGACAUAUUGUGUUUGAUGGGCUUGUUUGUAUUAUAAUAAAUUAUGAGAUGGUGCAU